rnacentral:rRNA from 1 species
AGAGUUUGAUCAUGGCUCAGGAUGAACGCUAGCGGCAGGCUUAACACAUGCAAGUCGAGCGGUAAGCCACCUUCGGGUGGCCUAGAGCGGCAAACGGGUGCGGAACACGUACGCAAUCUACCCUUAGCUGGAGGAUAGCCCGAAGAAAUUCGGAUUAAUACUCCAUAAAAUAGCAGAGUGGCAUCACUCAAUUAUUAAAGAAUUUCGGCUAAGGAUGAGCGUGCGUCCCAUUAGGUAGUUGGUAGGGUAAUGGCCUACCAAGCCGACGAUGGGUAGCUGGUGUGAGAGCACGACCAGCCACACUGGUACUGAGACACGGACCAGACUCCUACGGGAGGCAGCAGUGAGGAAUAUUGGGCAAUGGACGAAAGUCUGACCCAGCCAUGCCGCGUGGAGGAUGAGGGCCCUCUGGGUUGUAAACUUCUUUUAUUGGGGAAGAAAAGCACUGUUUCUACGGUGUCCGACGGUACCCAAGGAAUAAGCACCGGCUAACUCCGUGCCAGCAGCCGCGGUAAUACGGAGGGUGCAAGCGUUAUCCGGAUUUACUGGGUUUAAAGGGUGCGUAGGCGGGUGGGUAAGUCAGAGGUGAAAUCUCCAAGCUUAACUUGGAAACUGCCCCUGAUACUAUCCAUCUUGAAUAUCGAUGAGGCGGGCGGAAUACAUCAUGUAGCGGUGAAAUGCUUAGAUAUGAUGUAGAACACCGAUUGCGAAGGCGCUCGCUAACCGAUUAUUGACGCUGAGGACGAAAGCGUGGGGAUCAAACAGGAUUAGAUACCCNNGUAGUCC